UGCCUCAGUAACGGCGAGUGAAGCGGCAACAGCUCAAAUUUGAAAUCUGGCCCUUUCAGGGUCCGAGUUGUAAUUUGCAGAGGGUGCUUUGGUGUCGGCCGUGGUCUAAGUUCCUUGGAACAGGACGUCACAGAGGGUGAGAAUCCCGUACGUGGCCGCCGGUCUUCACCGUGUAAAGCCCCUUCGACGAGUCGAGUUGUUUGGGAAUGCAGCUCUAAAUGGGAGAUACAUUUCUUCUAAAGCUAAAUAUUGGCCAGAGACCGAUAGCGCACAAGUAGAGUGAUCGAAAGAUGAAAAGCACUUUGGAAAGAGAGUCAAAAAGCACGUGAAAUUGUUGAAAGGGAAGCGCUUGCAGCCAGACGUGCCCGCAGUUGCUCACCUGGGCUCUCGCCCGGGGCAUUCUUCUGCGGGCAGGCCAGCAUCAGUUCGGGCGGUUGGAUAAAGGCCUCUAUCACGUAUCUUCCUUCGGGAUGACCUUAUAGGGGAGGCGCAACACGACCAUCCUGAACUGAGGACCGCGCAUCAGCUAGGAUGCUGGCGUAAUGGCUGUAAGCGGCCCGUCUUGAAACACGGACCAAGGAGUCUAACAUCUAUGCGAGUGUUUGGGUGUAAAGCCCGGGCGCGCAAUGAAAGUGAACGGAAGUGGG
rnacentral:rRNA from 1 species